AUUGAACGCUGGCGGCAGGCCUAACACAUGCAAGUCGAACGAGUGGCGGACGGGUGAGUAAUGUCUGGGAAACUGCCCGAUGGAGGGGGAUAACUACUGGAAACGGUAGCUAAUACCGCAUACCAUCGGAUGUGCCCAGAGGGGAUUAGCUAGUAGGUGGGGUAACGGCUCACCUAGGCGACGAUCCCUAGCUGGUCUGAGAGGAUGACCAGUCACACCGGACCCGAUACACGGACCAGACUUCUACGGGAGGCAUCAGUGGGGACUAUGGCACAAUGGGCGCAAGCCUGAUGCAGCCAUGCAGCGUGUAUGAAGAAGGCCUUCGGGUUGUAAAGUACUUUCAGCUAGGAGGCGUUACUCGCAGAAGAAGCACCGGCUAACUCCGUGCCAGCAGCCGCGGUAAUAC
rnacentral:rRNA from 1 species